UAACAAGGUCUCCGUUGGUGAACCAGCGGAGGGAUCAUUACAGAGUUGCAAAACUCCCUAAACCAUUGUGAACGUUACCUAUACCGUUGCUUCGGCGGGCGGCCCCGGGGUUUACCCCCCGGGCGCCCCUGGGCCCCACCGCGGGCGCCCGCCGGAGGUCACCAAACUCUUGAUAAUUUAUGGCCUCUCUGAGUCUUCUGUACUGAAUAAGUCAAAACUUUCAACAACGGAUCUCUUGGUUCUGGCAUCGAUGAAGAACGCAGCGAAAUGCGAUAAGUAAUGUGAAUUGCAGAAUUCAGUGAAUCAUCGAAUCUUUGAACGCACAUUGCGCCCGCCAGCAUUCUGGCGGGCAUGCCUGUUCGAGCGUCAUUUCAACCAUCAAGCCCCCGGGCUUGUGUUGGGGACCUGCGGCUGCCGCAGGCCCUGAAAAGCAGUGGCGGGCUCGCUGUCGCACCGAGCGUAGUAGCAUACAUCUCGCUCUGGUCGCGCCGCGGGUUCCGGCCGUUAAACCACCUUUUAACCCAAGGUUGACCUCAGAUC
rnacentral:misc_RNA from 1 species